GACGAAGGGGGCUAGCGUUGUUCGGAGUUACUGGGCGUAAAGAGCGCGCAGGCGGUCGAUCAAGUCGAGUGUGAAAGCCCCCGGCUCAACUGGGGAGGGUCAUUCGAUACUGAUCGACUCGAAGGCAGGAGAGGGUAGUGGAAUUCCCGGUGUAGUGGUGAAAUGCGUAGAUAUCGGGAGGAACACCAGUGGCGAAGGCGACUACCUGGCCUGUUCUUGACGCUGAGGCGCGAAAGCUAGGGGAGCAAACGGG
rnacentral:rRNA from 1 species